UGGGGAAUUUUGGACAAUGGGGGCAACCCUGAUCCAGCAAUGCCGCGUGUGUGAAGAAGGCCUUCGGGUUGUAAAGCACUUUUGUCCGGAAAGAAAACGCCGUGGUUAAUACCCGUGGCGGAUGACGGUACCGGAAGAAUAAGCACCGGCUAACUACGUGCCAGCAGCCGCGGUAAUACGUAGGGUGCAAGCGUUAAUCGGAAUUACUGGGCGUAAAGCGUGCGCAGGCGGUCCGCUAAGACAGAUGUGAAAUCCCCGGGCUUAACCUGGGAACUGCAUUUGUGACUGGCGGGCUAGAGUAUGGCAGAGGGGGGUAGAAUUCCACGUGUAGCAGUGAAAUGCGUAGAGAUGUGGAGGAAUACCGAUGGCGAAGGCAGCCCCUGGGCCAAUACUGACGCUCAUGCACGAAAGCGUGGGGGAGCAAACAGGAUUAGAUACCCUGGUAGUCCACGCCCUAAACGAUGUCAACUAGUUGUCGGGUCUUCAUUGACUUGGUAACGUAGCUAACGCGUGAAGUUGACCGCCUGGGGAGUACGGUCGCAAGAUUAAAAACUC
rnacentral:rRNA from 1 species